CCAGAUAUCACCAUAGACAGGGAUAUCACUUUUCUGUUCCACUUUAAUGUAAAUUUAACCAACAACGCCAACCCUACCUUAAGUUUUAAUGGAUUCCCGACUGAAUUGAGUAUAAGGAAGAAGUAGAUUAAAGCGGUUCGCCGGGAUGAAAGUCCAAACUUAAAAAUAAAACAAGGAAUAUUACAUGAAAUCUUUGAUGUUGCUCAUCUUGCACAAGCAGGUCAAGGGUCAUGCAUUCCAUUCCCAGGAAUAUUAGGCUACAGUAAAUCUUUGAUGUACCGGCGUCUUCAUGUUGCUCAUCCUGCACCAACAGGUCAAAGGUCAUGGAUCGAUUCAGCUCAUCCGACACGAGCAGGUCAAAGGUCACCCGUCAGAAUCCCAG